UGCAGUAGCCCUCAGCUUGCCGGCGCCUCAGGGAGCUUACUGGCUGGCUGCUGUACUCACAUGUUAAGCAGAUGUGUAUGGGGAGACCGUGAAGACGGAGACUGGACACACCAAUGUGAGAGGGGCCACUUCAUGACCGUUCCCUCCCAGUGCUCAGUCCCCGACGGCCUCCACCGUCUGUCUGUUUCUAUGAGUCUGUGACAUGAGCGCACAGUCCCGUCCCAUGGCCAGGAUCCCGCCGACCCCUGCUCCCUGGAGCCCCCUCACCCCCUGUGCUGGCGGUGUGUCCUUGGCUUCCUCCAGCUGCCGGUGGGUCCAGGGGCCCAGUCAGCUCUGCACACAGCGGCUGCUGGCGUUCUCCUCCCUGGGCACUCAGGUCUGAAACUCGACCCCGGUGAGGACCAGCCCUACCUCCCUGGAGGAAACGGCUGAACAGCCCAGCAACAGCAGAUGAAACUUCCUUCCCCCUCAUCCAGCUGCAGGCCCCCCAGCCCGAGGACUCUCCUCCCUGUCUCCAGCUGCCCCAGCCCGGACAGCAGCCCCAGAGGGCCUGAGGGAGGAACGUGUCUUCCCACGUCCCAGGACUGGCUUCUUGGCAGACCUGGACCUCAGGUGCGCACAGCACUUGGCUGCCCGUCCGCCGUUGCCUGCUGAAGGGCGGCUGUGGGACGCAGCCAGCUGCUUGCAGUUGCCCCGCUGCGCAGGACACGGAAGGGGAGGAAAACCCCUGGGGUGUGGAUGUGAGGAGGGGUGGCAUGUGCAGGCCUUCCUUGGCUCCUGCCUGCAGGAAACCUGCAGGGCUCCCGCCCCUGCCACGCGGGCUGCCUAGCCCAGCUCCUGUCAUGAGUGAACGGAGCGAGCUGUGAGCCCUGGCUGCUCCUUGCUGCCCCCCAGGGGCCUGCGGGAUGCCGACCCUCUGUCUUGGGAUGCCUUGGGCUACUCGAUGCCACAGACCACCCAGGCUCACGCUGACUGUGGUGACAGGGCUGUGCAGCUGGGAGGUGGUGUCACCUGCCACAUGCCCCCAGAGAGCUGCGGUGAGGACACAGGUACCACGGCGCAGCCCAGGAGGGCGCGGCUCUACCGAUGCCACUGGCCCAUUCAGACCAGCAAGAGCUCCCUGGCCCCACCUGCCGCCCUGCCUCUCAAGGUCCCCCUGCCACCUUCCCCCAGGCCUGGCUCCUUCCUCUGUGCUCGGCCACCAUCCCAGCCACUAGCAGCCUUUUGUUUGGAAGAAGAGCGUGAAUAUCUAUCUGUUUGCCAAGCCCCCCACCAAAGCCAAGAGAGGCCAGGCCAGGCGGCAUGCCUACUUGCUGUGGAGACCCAAGGGAAGGGGCGAGGAGGCACGUUAAGGCCCUGCAAAGUGCUGCAGCUCUGCUGGAGUUUUCAUAGCCCACGUAUUCUCGUGUCCUCACAGCAACCCUGAGAAAUAGAGCUUUAUAGCCCCAGUUUCAGAUGAGAGUGAAGUGGCUAUGCAAAAACCCUCCUUCCAGAGGACAAGGGAAAUGCAAAACCUGUUUUCCAGAGUGAGCACUGGGGAUUCUGGGGAGGCUCCCGUGAGCUUGUGGAGUUUCCAGAACUGGAGGGCAGCCAUCUCCUUACACACUUGACCUUCUGGGACCCCUGUCCACCUCCUAACCCUCCUCCAAGUGGCCUCAGAGUCCUGGGCAUCAGCCUGCUGGCCUCAUUUCCCAUCAAGAAGAGAGGUCGCCCCGGGGUCUCCAGGUCUCUCCGGACUCUGCGUCUGCUCCUGGCCACCCCUGCUCCUUGUCAUUAGCAUCCUACUCUCUGUGUCCUGACUCAGCCUCCUCGUUGUGCAUGCCUGAGCCAGCCUGCCCUCUUCCCCCAGCUCCAGCGGACACGGUAAAAGGAUGCUUUCAUGCCGCCUUUUCCAACAGCAGGGGCAUCUUCCUAUUCUGUAUUGUGUGUUCAUGACAGUGCUGAGGGUGAGGAUGAGGGUGCGUGAGACAGAGGGGGCACUCUUGCGUGUGUGGGUCAGUGUGGAGGGGACUCUUGAGGAAGUCCCAGGAGAAACGGGUGGAAUUCACAUGGGAAGGGGGCCUUCCAUGGCUCGGACAUGGUGCUGCUCGUCUGGAUUCUGUGGCUGUCCCCCACGCGCCUCUCAACACCACCCUCCCUCCCUUUCUCCUUUCAACAGGGCGCCUGGGCAACCGGAGUGAGGAGCCAGGGAGAAGGGGAGCCCCAGUGCUCUGGGGUGGGGGACUCUUGGGAGAAGAGGGACGCUAGCAGGCUUCUUCGAGAAACAGUUUACAUUCCACUGUUGUUCUUAUAUCACUCAUUUCCUGUGGGGCUUAGGAGGAGCGACACGCCCACAUCCUGAUGCUCUGCAGCCUGCAGAGGGCUUCCCAGGACCUCAGGGCUCCGUGAGGAUACACAUGACUAUCCCCACUUCACAGAUGAGGAGGCAGAUGCUUCACAACAGUCAGCUGCUGCUGGGGAUCAAGACGAGGAGACGGGGGCUCAGGGUGGCACUCCAGUUUUCCAUGCUGAGGCCAGAGCCCCUGCCCUCUUCUCUCUCCAUCUCCCGAGAGGGGGGAGGCCUCAGGGGUGUGGGGCCUCGGGAUCCUGCCAUGUGUCAACAGGCACCGCCCUCUAGAAGGACCUGGAGGACGUGGGCUCCAGCUCUGGGCCGUGCCAGCUGCAGGUUGCAGCAGCCCUGUGGUGAGUCCCUUGGUGUGAACCAGAUGUUCCAUGGUCUGGCCAGAGCCCGCCUGCCCAGUUUCCGGGGCCCCACGUCCUGCCGGUUCUGUGGGAAUGCAGGGGACUGUCCACGUGUGACUCAGGCUUGGGGCUAAAGAUAAGAAGCCCCAGACAAAGACAGAAAACAGACACAACUCAAAAAGACAAGAAAAAAAGCUUUUCCACAAUAAUUUUGGGAAAUCUCCAAAUAUUUUUUUUAACUAGGUCUUUGUGCUUUGAACUAACAUGGCUUUUGGUAUAUAAAUGACAUCAGAAAAUGAGCAGUGACUAUAUUUCAAGAAUUUCUCCCCAAAGCCCCUUUUCACAAACCCCACCAAAUUUUUACUUGUAGCUUUGAAUUUCCCAGAAGGCCCACCUCUCUAUUUCGGUCUUCCCUGUCCUCUCCCUCUCACCUCAAAAGCAGUCACUUGUGGAGUUUUCCUCACCAGGGCACAGAGGAAAAGUGGGAACGGGCAAGACAGCAGGUGUGGUGUGCAGGAGGUGCCAGGGCCAGACUCCUGACGGUGGGCUCGUUCCCUACAGGCAGGCCCGGCUAGCCCACUAGACAAAAUGGUUUUAACUUUCUGCGUCUUGAAUGGUUUUGCUGUAAAAUAAAACCAGCGUCUGAAAUAUGUCUGUAAA